GCGAGUAACGCGUGAGUAACCUGCCCAUACCCUGGGAAUAAUCCAUGGAAACGUGGACUAAUACCGCAUAUUGUAGUUAAGUUGCAUGACUUGAUUAUGAAAGAUUUAUCGCUUAUGGAUGGACUCGCGUCAGAUUAGAUAGUUGGUGAGGUAACGGCUCACCAAGUCAACGAUCUGUAGCCGAACUGAGAGGUUGAUCGGCCGCAUUGGGACUGAGACACGGCCCAGACUCCUACGGGAGGCAGCAGUGGGGAAUAUUGCGCAAUGGGGGCAACCCUGACGCAGCAACGCCGCGUGCAGGAAGAAGGUCUUCGGAUUGUAAACUGUUGUCGCAAGGGAAGAAGACAGUGACGGUACCUUGUGAGAAAGUCACGGCUAACUACGUGCCAGCAGCCGCGGUAAUACGUAGGUGACAAGCGUCGUCCGGAUUUACUGGGUGUAAAGGGCGCGUAGGCGGACUGUCAAGUCAGUCGUGAAAUACCGGGGCUUAACCCCGGGGCUGCGAUUGAAACUGACAGCCUUGAGUAUCGGAGAGGAAAGCGGAAUUCCUAGUGUAGCGGUGAAAUGCGUAGAUAUUAGGAGGAACACCAGUGGCGAAGGCGGCUUUCUGGACGACAACUGACGCUGAGGCGCGAAAGUGUGGGGAGCAAACAGGA
rnacentral:rRNA from 1 species